rnacentral:lncRNA from 1 species
GCUUGCCAAGCUUUGCGUCCUCCAGAAUUGUCCUGUGAGUGACUCCCACAGGAUGGAGACUUUUGUGUCUGGCUUCCUUCACUUCGCAGCAGGCUUCGCGGGACCCGUGUGGUGGCACCAGCGUCCCGCCCUUGAAACCCAUGAAAGAGGAUCCUGAAAGAGCAAGGGCGGCCUCCAGGUGAAGGUGGUGGGCGGCCUCCAGGUGAAGGCGGCCUCCAGGUGAAGGUGGUCAGCACCCUCCCUUUGGCCAAGAGGAGACUGCAGUUUCAACUCAAAGAUUAUUCCUGAAUGAUGCAGCAAGCUUAAACUUCCUUAAAAACAAACCUCUGGGAAGAGGAAAACGAGGCAAGAUGCUGAGAAAAAGUCAUCUCCCACUCUGCCCUUCUCUGGCAAAUCGAAGUGUCCUCUUGUGGGAGGCGGUGGGCAGCGACACUCCUGUUGGACGUCAGUGCUCUCGGGAUGGGCCCGGCCACCCCGGAGCAGAACUCACUUAGGGCCUGGUGCCCCUGUGCCCAGUUCUCAGAACGUCGGAGUGCUCAGUUCUCAGAACGCCGGAGUGCCCCAUUCAUAACCUGCAGCCCCGUUCAUAGCCUGCAGCUCCCCUCCUUCCUCUCCUCCCGGUCGUCAGGGAGCACCCCCAGCUCCCCUCCCCACUCUCAAACCCUCCUCCUCCCUCCCCUCUCUCAUUUCCCUGUUUGCAGGAUCUCCUCCUGCCCACUCUCCAGCCCAGGUCCUCCCCUCUCAUCUCCAAUUCUGCUUCAUGGGCCAUGACAGCAGGCAGGCCAUGGCCUGCUCUCAGCAGUUUGAUCGAUGGACUAAGGAGAUCACUCCUAUGAGAGUGAAAAAGUCAAAUGUGCCUGAGAUUCGGAUGGGGAGCUCUCAAAGCUACGGAUUGCAAGAGUCAACACCGCCUCAAAAGUACAAGGCCGGCCGGGUGCAGUGGCUCACACCUGUAAUCCCAGCACUUUGGGAGACUGAGGCGGGUGGAUCACCUGAGGUCAGGAGCUCAAGACCAGCCUGACCAACAUGGUGAAAUCCCGUCUCUAUUAAAAAUACAAAAAAGAUUAGCCGGGUGUGGUGGUGCAUGCUUGUAGUCCCAGCUACUCGGGAGGCUGAGGCAGGGGGAGCACUUGAACCCGGGAGGUGGAGGUUGCAGUGAGCCGAGAUUGCACCAUUGCACUCCAGCCUGGGCAACAGAGUGAGACCCUGCCUCAAAAAAAUAAAAAAAUAAAAGUACGAGGCCCGGUUUAAAUGCAGGAGGAAUCUGGUGAGCGAGUUUCACUCUGAUGCAACAGAAAAGCCAAGCCAAGCCUUGGCUGUGCCUGGUCUUGGCCGGGGAGCCACAGGCAGGGUCUGCUGGUUUCGGUGUCAGGGGCACAUCCCCAGGACCACGUCUGAGAUGGGAAGUGCCUUGAUGGAAAACUGAUACCUUUUUCUUUCCGAGUAACUUUAGAACAUGUCGCUUCAAAUAUAACUAAUAUCCUGAUUUCAGUGGACUUGCAUGGAAGGAAACGCAAGUUCAUUUGCCAGUGGGGGGUGAGGACUGGGAGAGUGGGGAGCAGGGUGGGGAAGAGGGGAGCAUUCCACAAGCCGCAAGAGCCUGGACACCUCCAGCCUUCAAUAAAUAGCAUUUGAAUUUGCUGUGCCUAAUUCAACCUUGCAUUUGCGUAGUGAAA